CGUACGGUUAUUCGGAGUCAUUUGUGGAGUCAACUGGAUUCGACUAAUAAGAGUAAACUAUAACUACGAGUUUUCUAAUAUCUAAAUUUGUGGUGUAGACCCUCUCAUAUAGAAUCCCGGGAAAAAAAUCCCCGCAGGAAAAUGGAACGUACCUUAAAAUGUGCACGAUUCCGUUUGCUGAUAAGGACCGUUCGGAAUCGUGUUCUACCCAAAAAAAAAUGCACACGGACAAAACCGGGUUAUUCAGC